GACGAACGCUGGCGGCGUGCUUAACACAUGCAAGUCGAACGGAAAGGCCCUGCUUUUGUGGGGUGCUCGAGUGGCGAACGGGUGAGUAACACGUGAGUAACCUGCCCUUGACUUUGGGAUAACUUCAGGAAACUGGGGCUAAUACCGGAUAGGAGCUCCUGCUGCAUGGUGGGGGUUGGAAAGUUUCGGCGGUUGGGGAUGGACUCGCGGCUUAUCAGCUUGUUGGUGGGGUAGUGGCUUACCAAGGCUUUGACGGGUAGCCGGCCUGAGAGGGUGACCGGGGACACUGGGACUGUGAGAUGCCGCAGAGUCCAAUAGGGGAGAGAGGUGGGGAGAAUAUUGCAAUAUGGGCGGGAGUGUGAUGCAGAAGCGCCGCGUGGGAGGUGGGGGCUUUCGGGGUGAAAAGCGCUUUCGUGUGUGACGGCGUGUGUGAGGGUAUCAUGGGAAGAAACGCCGGCUAACUACGUG
rnacentral:rRNA from 1 species